rnacentral:rRNA from 1 species
GAUGAACGCUGGCGGCGUGCCUAAUACAUGCAAGUCGAGCGAACGGACGAGAAGCUUGCUUCUCUGAUGUUAGCGGCGGACGGGUGAGUAACACGUGGAUAACCUACCUAUAAGACUGGGAUAACUUCGGGAAACCGGAGCUAAUACCGGAUGAUAUUUUGAACCGCAUGGUUCAAAAGUGAAAGACGGUCUUGCUGUCACUUAUAGAUGGAUCCGCGCUGCAUUAGCUAGUUGGUAAGGUAACGGCUUACCAAGGCAACGAUGCAUAGCCGACCUGAGAGGGGGAUCGGCCACACGGGAACUGAGACACGGUCCAGACUCCUACGGGAGGCAGCAGUAGGGAAUCUUCCGCAAUGGGCGAAAGCCUGACGGAGCAACGCCGCGUGAGUGAUGAAGGUCUUCGGAUCGUAAAACUCUGUUAUUAGGGAAGAACAUAUGUGUAAGUAACUGUGCACAGCUUGAUGGUACCUAAUCAGAAAGCCACGGCUAACUACGUG